GAUCAUGGCUCAGGACGAACGCUGGCGGCGUGCUUAACACAUGCAAGUCGAACGGAAAGGCCCUGCUUUGUGGGGUGCUCGAGUGGCGAACGGGUGAGUAACACGUGAGUAACCUGCCCUUGACUUUGGGAUAACUUCAGGAAACUGGGGCUAAUACCGGAUAGGAGCUCCUGCUGCAUGGUGGGGGUUGGAAAGUUUCGGCGGUUGGGGAUGGACUCGCGGCUUAUCAGCUUGUCGGUGGGGUAGUGGCUUACCAAGGCUUUGACGGAUAGCCGGCCUGAGAGGGUGACCGGCCACAUUGGGACUGAGAUACGGCCCAGACUCCUACGGGAGGCAGCAGUGGGGAAUAUUGCACAAUGGGCGGAAGCCUGAUGCAGCAACGCCGCGUGCGGGAUGACGGCCUUCGGGUUGUAAACCGCUUUCGCCUGUGACGAAGCGUGAGUGACGGUAAUGGGUAAAGAAGCACCGGCUAACUACGUGCCAGCCGCCGC
rnacentral:rRNA from 1 species